UGGGGAAUAUUGCACAAUGGGCGAAAGCCUGAUGCAGCAACGCCGCGUGAGUGAUGAAGGCCUUCGGGUUGUAAAGCUCUGUCUUCUGGGACGAUAAUGACGGUACCAGAGGAGGAAGCCACGGCUAACUACGUGCCAGCAGCCGCGGUAAUACGUAGGUGGCAAGCGUUGUCCGGAUUUACUGGGCGUAAAGGAUGCGUAGGCGGAUACUUAAGACAGAUGUGAAAAUCCCGGGCUUAACUUGGGAACUGCAUUUGAAACUGGGUAUCUAGAGUGCGGGAGAGGAAAGUGGAAUUCCUAGUGUAGCGGUGAAAGGCGUAGAGAUUAGGAAGAACACCGGUGGCGAAGGCGACUUUCUGGACCGUAACUGACGCUGAGGCAUGAAAGCGUGGGG
rnacentral:rRNA from 1 species